rnacentral:tRNA from 1 species
GCGCCCGUAGCUCAAAGGAAGAGCGACGGCCUUCUAAGCCGUAGGCUGCAGGUUCGAGUCCUGCCGGGCGUACCA